UACGUAGGGGGCAAGCGUUGUCCGGAAUCAUUGGGCGUAAAGAGCGUGUAGGCGGCUCGGUAAGUCCGCUGUGAAAGUCCAGGGCUCAACCCUGGAAUGCCGGUGGAAACUGUCGAGCUCGAGUCCGGAAGAGGCGAGUGGAAUUCCUGGUGUAGCGGUGAAAUGCGCAGAUAUCAGGAGGAACACCAAUGGCGAAGGCAGCUCGCUGGGACGUGACUGACGCUGAGACGCGAAAGCGUGGGGAGCAAACAGG
rnacentral:rRNA from 1 species